GAGGAAUAUCAGGAUAACAUCAGCUUAAACUGGAUCACAGAUAUUGUCGUCAGUGUAAGAAGGUAGAGGAGGAAUAUCAGGAUAACAUCAGCUUAAACUGGAUCACAGAUAUUGUCGUCAGUGUAAGAAGGUAGAGGAGGAAUAUCAGGAUAACAUCAGCUUAAACUGGAUCACAGAUAUUGUCGUCAGUGUAAGAAGGUAGAGGAGGAAUAUCAGGAUAACAUCAUCUUAAACUGGAUCACAGAUAUUGUCGUCAGUGUAAGAAGGUAGAGGAGGAAUAUCAGGAUAACAUCAGCUUAAACUGGAUCACAGAUAUUGUCGUCAGUGUAAGAAGGUAGAGGAGGAAUAUCAGGAUAACAUCAGCUUAAACUGGAUCACAGAUAUUGUCGUCAGUGUAAGAAGGUAGAGGAGGAAUAUCAGGAUAACAUCAGCUUAAACUGGAUCACAGAUAUUGUCGUCAGUGUAAGAAGGUAGAGGAGGAAUAUCAGGAUAACAUCAGCUUAAACUGGAUCACAGAUAUUGUCGUCAGUGUAAGAAGGUAGAGGA